AUUGAACGCUGGCGGCAGGCCUAACACAUGCAAGUCGAGCGGAGCUGCGGACGGGUGAGUAAUGCCUAGGAAUCUGCCUGGUAGUGGGGUAUAACGUCCGGAAACGGGCGCUAAUACCACAUACUAUCAGAUGAGCCUCGGUGGGAUUAGCUAGUUGGUGGGGUAAAGGCCUACCAAGUCGACGAGCCGUAACGGGUCUGAGAGGAUGAUCAAUCACACUGGAAUGGAGACACGGUCAAGACCCCAACGGUAGGCAGCAGUGGGGAAUUUUGGACAAUGGGCGAAAGCCUGAUCGAGCCAGGCCGCGUGGGUGAAGAAGGUCUUCGGAUUGUAAAGCACUUUAAGUUGGGAGGCGGUACCAACAGAAUAAGCCACGGCUAACUUCGUGCCAGCAGCCGCGGUAAUUC
rnacentral:rRNA from 1 species